CUCUGGGGUUGCGGCACUCAUCUCGCUUUAUUGGCCAAGGGAGCCGGCGUACAGCUUCUGGGUCAUGUGGCCAGCAGGACUAAGCCGCUUCUGGCGAACCAGAGCAGCGCACGGAAACGCCGUUUACCUUCCCGCCGGAGCGGUACCUAUUUAUCUACUUGCACUUUGUGGUGCUUUCGAACUGCUAGGUUGGCAGGAGCAGGGACUGAGCAACGGGAGCUCACCCCGUCGCGGGGAUUCGAA
rnacentral:lncRNA from 1 species